AUUGAACGCUGGCGGCAGGCCUAACACAUGCAAGUCGAACGGCAGCACAGAAGAGCUUGCUCUUUGGGUGGCGAGUGGCGGACGGGUGAGUAAUGUCUGGGAAACUGCCCGAUGGAGGGGGAUAACUACUGGAAACGGUAGCUAAUACCGCAUAACGUCGCGAGACCAAAGUGGGGGACCUUCGGGCCUCACACCAUCGGAUGUUCCCAGAUGGGAUUAGCUAGUAGGUGGGGUAAUGGCUCACCUAGGCGACGAUCCCUAGCUGGUCUGAGAGGAUGACCAGCCACACUGGAACUGAGACACGGUCCAGACUCCUACGGGAGGCAGCAGUGGGGAAUAUUGCACAAUGGGCGCAAGCCUGAUGCAGCCAUGCCGCGUGUAUGAAGAAGGCCUUCGGGUUGUAAAGUACUUUCAGCGGGGAGGAAGGCGGUGAGGUUAAUAACCUCGCCGAUUGACGUUACCCGCAGAAGAAGCACCGGCUAACUCCGUGCCAGCAGCCGCCGUAA
rnacentral:rRNA from 1 species